UGGUAGGGAUGUUUAUUGGGCUUAAAGCGUCCGUAGCCGGCUCGGCAAGUCUUCCGUUAAAUCCAACGACCCAAUCGUUGGACUGCGGAAGAUACUGUCAGGCUAGGGGACGGAAGAGGCCGACGGUAUUCUCGGGGUAGGGGUGAAAUCCUAUAAUCCCGGGAGGACCACCAGUGGCGAAG
rnacentral:rRNA from 1 species